GAUGAAGCCUUUCGGGGUGGAUUAGUGGCGAACGGGUGAGUAACACGUGGGCAAUCUGCCCUGUACUUUGGGAUAAGCCUUGGAAACGGGGUCUAAUACCGGAUAUCACCAUUGAUCGCAUGGUCUUUGGUUGAAAGUUCUGGCGGUACAGGAUGAGCCCGCGGCCUAUCAGCUUGUUGGUGGGGUAAUGGCCUACCAAGGCGACGACGGGUAGCCGGCCUGAGAGGGUGACCGGCCACACUGGGACUGAGACACGGCCCAGACUCCUACGGGAGGCAGCAGUGGGGAAUAUUGCACAAUGGGCGAAAGCCUGAUGCAGCGACGCCGCGUGAGGGAUGACGGCCUUCGGGUUGUAAACCUCUUUCGCCAGGGACGAAGCGCAAGUGACGGUACCUGGAUAAGAAGCACCGGCUAACUACGUGCCAGCAGCCGCGGUAAUACGUAGGGUGCAAGCGUUGUCCGGAAUUAUUGGGCGUAAAGAGCUCGUAGGCGGUUUGUCACGUCGGCUGUGAAAUCUGGAGGCUUAACCUUCAGCGUGCAGUCGAUACGGGCAGACUUGAGUUCGGUAGGGGAGACUGGAAUUCCUGGUGUAGCGGUGAAAUGCGCAGAUAUCAGGAGGAACACCGGUGGCGAAGGCGGGUCUCUGGGCCGAUACUGACGCUGAGGAGCGAAAGCGUGGGGAGCGAACAGGAUUAGAUACCCUGGUAGUCCACGCUGUAAACGUUGGGCGCUAGGUGUGGGCGACAUCCACGUUGUCCGUGCCGUAGCUAACGCAUUAAGCGCCCCGCCUGGGGAGUACGGCCGCAAGGCUAAAACUCAAAUGAAUUGACGGGG
rnacentral:rRNA from 1 species